GUGAAAUGCCAUGAUUUUAUGCAUGUGCAUUGAUGAUAUGCUGUGUAUGUGAUGUAUGUGAUGCGGGUUCAUGUGUUUCCACAUGAACCAUAUGAUGCUAAUGUUUUAUGUGAUGUGUGCUGUUUUUCAGUAAGCAAGAUGAGAGGAACUCGUCGAUCUGCACGAUUGACUGGAGUACCACCUCAGGAUGAGGGCACGGAUGCCCGUCCUCCUGCAUUGCCUAGGGCAAUGUCCUGCAGGUCUAGUAGGGAGAGAGUGUCAAGGGACCCUAGAAGGUCUUUUGAUAUGAGCAGAAGAGGAACAGUUCAAGCUGGAGUGUUAGAAGAUGUG
rnacentral:lncRNA from 1 species